UACGGAGGGAGCAAGCGUUGUUCGGAUUUACUGGGCGUAAAGGGCGCGUAGGCGGCAAAUUAAGUCAGCUGUGAAAUCUCCGAGCUUAACUCGGAACUGUCAGCUGAUACUGAUCUGCUAGAGUGCGGAAGGGGCAAUCGGAAUUCUUGGUGUAGCGGUGAAAUGCGUAGAUAUCAAGAGGAACACCUGAGGUGAAGACGGGUUGCUGGGCCGACACUGACGCUGAGUGCGCGAAAGCCAGGGGAGCAAACGGG
rnacentral:rRNA from 1 species